rnacentral:pre_miRNA from 1 species
UCCUCGCUCCCGGGGUCCAGUUUUCCCAGGAAUCCCUUGGGCAAUCACAAGGGGGAUUCCUGGAAAUACUGUUCUUGGGGGUGGGGC